rnacentral:rRNA from 1 species
CAGCAGCCGCGGGAAUACGAAGGGUGCAAGCGUUACUCGGAAUUACUGGGCGUAAAGCAUGCGUAGGUGGUGGUUUAAGUCCGUUGUGAAAGCCCUGGGCUCAACCUGGGAAUUGCAGUGGAUACUGGGUCACUAGAGUGUGGUAGAGGAUAGUGGAAUUUCCGGUGUAGCAGUGAAAUGCGUAGAGAUCGGAAGGAACAUCUGUGGCGAAGGCGACUAUCUGGGCCAACACUGACACUGAGGCACGAAAGCGUGGGGAGCAAACAGGAUUAGAGACCCCUGUAGUCCCUGUCUCUUAUAC